GAUGAACGCUGGCGGCGUGCCUAAUACAUGCAAGUCGAGCGAACGGACGAGAAGCUUGCUUCUCUGAUGUUAGCGGCGGACGGGUGAGUAACACGUGGAUAACCUACCUAUAAGACUGGGAUAACUUCGGGAAACCGGAGCUAAUACCGGCUAAUAUUUUGAACCGCAUGGUUCAAAAGUGACAGACGGUCUUGCUGUCACUUAUAGAUGGAUCCGCGCUGCAUUAGCUAGUUGGUAAGGUAACGGCUUACCAAGGCAACGAUGCAUAGCCGACCUGAGAGGGUGAUCGGCCACACUGGAACUGAGACACGGUCCAGACUCCUACGGGAGGCAGCAGUAGGGAAUCUUCCGCAAUGGGCGAAAGCCUGACGGAGCAACGCCGCGUGAGUGAUGAAGGUCUUCGGAUCGUAAAACUCUGUUAUUAGGGAAGAACAUAUGUGUAAGUAACUGUGCACAUCUUGACGGUACCUAAUCAGAAAGCCACGGCUAACUACGUG
rnacentral:rRNA from 1 species